rnacentral:lncRNA from 1 species
CCAGGAUAAACCUUACCUCCUCAGGCUUCUGAAAAAAAAAAAAAAAAAAAAAAAAAGAGUUCAAAAAUUGAUGAAUCUUACUUGGAAUUUGUUAUGGACUGAAUUGUGUCUGCAGUCCAUUCUAAUGUCAUUAUAGGAGGAGGAAAUUUGGAAUGCACAGAGACACUCCAGGUGAACGAGCACAGAGGAGAGGUCGUGUGAGGACAUGGUGAGAAGGUGGCCAUCCUUGAGGCCAGAAAGAGAGGCCUCAGAAGAAACCAAACCUGCUGACGCCUUGAUCUUGGACCUCCAGCUUCCAGAACUGUGCCAGAGAAGCAAUCUCUGAAGCUCAAAUUCUCGUGCAAAUGAUUUAUUGAGAAAGUGCUCCUGGAGAAACAAGCAAAGUAGGGAGCUGGAAAAGAACAGAGAGUGGGGAAGUAGCCAAGCAAGGACUAUGGAGGGUUCCUUCAGCCUCUCAGGCAAGGGGACCUCUGAAGUGUAUGUUACACAUCAGAAGUGUCCCUUUGCAAUACAGUACAGAGGCACUGAGCUUUCAUCUGGACUCACAGGUCAGUCAUUGACUAAGAGCCUCCACCGUGGACAUAAACUCCCUGUACUCCUGCUCUCUGUGCAUGUAGGUAAAGAUGUUCCAGUUACAUGAGAGGUUUUCUAAAAGAAGGUACUGCCUGUGGGAGAAAAAACACAGGGAAGGCAGAGGAGAGAUUCCUGAAAAUGGCAAAAAAGAUCAGAGGGUAUCUGGGAAGGUCAUUGACAGCACUAUCUACAUCCUGAAGCAACCACAUUUUUCUAAGGUUAAUAAAAAUGGGAGGGUUGAGUACUGCCCAUGUGAGAUAAAUCGGUAUAAAUGUUCAAAUUCACAAGGUAAUAGUUUCCUAG